UUACGGCUAUAGCACAUUGAAACACCGGUUACCGUACGAUCACCGAAGUUAAGCAACGUCGAGCAUGGUCAGUACCUAGAUGGGUGAACGCUUGGAUGUGCAGGUGGCGUA